rnacentral:tRNA from 1 species
CGGGGUGUAGUUCAGCUUGGCAGAACACCUGCUUUGGGAGCAGGGGGUCGCAGGUUCAAAUCCUGUCACCCCGACCA